GUUGGGUUGGUAUAGUUGGUUAUUACGUCCGCCUCACACGCGGAAGGUCAGGAGUUCGAACCUCCUACCCAAUA
rnacentral:tRNA from 1 species